rnacentral:rRNA from 1 species
UACGGAGGAUCCAAGCGUUAUCCGGAUUAUUGGGUUUAAAGGGUGCGUAGGCGGCCUAUUAAGUCAGGGGUGAAAGACGGUAGCUUAACUAUCGCAGUGCCCUUGAUACUGAUGGGCUUGAAUAAUACUAGAGGUAGGCGGAAUGUGACAAGUAGCGGUGAAAUGCAUAGAUAUGUCACAGAACACCAAUUGCGAAGGCAGCUUACUAUGGUAUUAUUGACGCUGAGGCACGAAAGCGUGGGGAUCAAACAGG